CUGUUUUAUUUUGAAAUUACUUUCAUUUUCUCAUUCUUUCCACCAUUAAACGUUUGGGGCUUCGGGUAAUAGUUAGGCUUCCCGGAAUCUCAAGUUCUUGCAGAGAUAGAAGGAGAUGAGGAUGGAUCUAGAAGCAGUUCGAUCGAUACUGUCUAAAUCAGUAUUCAGAGAUGUAAUGGCAGCAGAUGCUUGUGAUUACCAGAAGGAGUUGCUUGCUCAGGCACCCUCUACAUCCAAUCAGUAGGUUGAUUUUGAUGGGUUGAUGGAUGGCAGGAAAAAUUGCAUGCUGACAGGAUUGCAGCCCUUAAGGAUAAUGGAUAAGCAUUGAAGUCUCCUGCACAAGGUACAUUGAUGCCAAGUUCAUCAAGCAGGACGCUGAGAAUGAACCCUUCGUUGUUGCCAACCUUGAAGUCAGAACUCUGCUGUAGCAUAACCUUCAGAAAAGGGAUUGCAAUAGAAAGGCCCUGGUAGCAAAGAUGAUUUCACAAUACAUACUUUUAGAGACUUAAUCACAGAACGGUAAUACUUUCCUCCAUUUGUUAUGUGAUAUCCCAUGUUUGGUGCAGCAUCUCAACCACCAUAUUUAGCACAAAGAAGGAUAAGAUGAAGAACACGAAGACGCAGAUGAAGCCAACGGAAUAUAGCAAAAGAAAUGCUUUUUUUGGUUUCAAUGGAUCUAUAACUUUUAAAACUCUUACCUGUUGUAUUUUUUUCCUAAAAAUGUAAAUAGGUUUAUUAUGUUGCAGAAAUAUUUGUUUAAAUUAAUUAGGGCAAUAUGCUCCACAUGACAAAGGAGUCAUUGUGGUUGUUGUUGAUGA